rnacentral:rRNA from 1 species
GCCGGGGUUUCUUUACCUGCUACUGUCAUUAUCAUCACAGGCGAAAGUGCUUUACGACCCUAAGGCCUUCGUCACACACGCGGCAUGGCUAGAUCAGGCUUGCGCCCAUUGUCUAAGAUUCCCC